GAAGCCAGCCUAAAAGGCCAUGCCACAUAAACUAUGAGGCAAAAGCACUGAUUGAAAAAAUCCUAACAUCAAAGCCUGGUGGUGAACGCAUUAUGCAAGAGUAUGGAAAAACCAAAUCUCUGACAGAUGCCACCAGAAGACAGAUGAUCAACAUACUUGCUGCUGAGAUGACAGAAACACAUGGGACAUCCCCCCA